ensembl:lncRNA
AUGGGGGAAUUUCUUUUAGAGGAGAUGGGUCUCACAUACACCAUGGAAGAACAUGGCUGCUAUGGAUUUCCCCCCACAAGGAAGAGGAAACAAAGCAGAGGACGUUCCCUGAACACACUUGAAUGUUUGAAUCCCAGUUUCAGGAAGCUGAGCCCCUCCAGAUGCCUCAGAGAGAGAAACCAGCACUUUCCCACAUGGCUCUUCAGUGGCUGCCACCCUGGACAUCAGAGCUGUGGCUUCUUCUGCUGGAUGCGUGCCCACAGCCCUGGAGAGAGCACGGUCUUGAGGACUUGAAAGGCUUCCACUUAUCACCGAGGAAGCAGGAGGAGAACAAGGACCCCUCUGCCUAUGCGUGCCGCGGGUGAACAGGAAAUGGCUCCAGCCUUUCCUCCUCUCUGCCUUUGCUUUCUGUUUCAAGUCUGCUGCCUGUGCCUUUGAGUCACGCCAAACACGUUAGAACAAACAGUAAGAAACAAGUCUGCUUAUGAGGGGAAUUUCCUGAAUUCUAAUAAGUCAUUUUCUCUCCUAAAGGCAACAGCCUUGCUUCCAGGUUCUGAAUUGGACUCUUGACUCAUCUUCCUCUGUGUGUUUCCAUGCUCCGUCCAGGAACGUGGUAGACGUGAAGCUCCAGGAAUGCUUAAGAGACCAAGUAGGGUCACCAGGGUCAUUGGGGCCACACUUUAAGAGGCCUCAGCCAUGGCUACACUGACGGGCAGCCAACCAAUAUUCACUGACUAAUUGUUGACUGUAGGCCAGACUCUGUGAUAACUGCUUGGGAUGGAGUGUGGAACAACAUGGGCAAAAUCUCUACCCUCCCUAGCUUAAAUUUAAAAGGCAAGAAAGAUAGGAAGCAAAAGUGCUUAUUAUGAAGGAGAAGAAAGUGAUAUCGCCAGCACAGGUAAAGGGGACAGAGCUCGGCUGGGGGUGAGGGAGAGUAAGAAAGCUUCUCCCCAAGAAAGCGGCAGCUAAGCCCUCAAAGAGUCAGCUUUGAACAAAUGAAGGGAGGGGCGGAGAGCAGACAGCUCCAAACUGAGGAAUCAGCUUACAUGGAAAGCCCUGAGGUGAGAAAGGGGGUGUGUUUAAGGAAUUCAAGCUGUCCAGAAUUCUAGAGCAGAGGGAACAGGGAGGUGUGCAGGGAGGUCGGCAAAGGCAGCAAGAACGUAGUUGGCAGUGGGAAGCAAUCCACAGGUUCUGGGUAAGAAAACGCACUGGCAUAUUUGCAUUUUGUUGCUUGAGAUCUUAGUCCCCUGACCAGUGAUUGAACCUGCACCCGCAGCAGUGAAAGCACUAACCACUGGACCACCAAGGAAUUGCCAGAUUUGCAUUUUCAAAGGAUCUCUCUGGCUGUUUGGGAAGAAUGGAGUUGGAAACAGUGGAAAUUGAUUCAAAGAGACUAUUGGGCUAUUGAAAUCAUCUGGAUGAUAGAGCGUGAUGAUUUGCAAAGGGCCAGAGGCAGAGAAGCUAGAAUGGGGAGAAUGAUUCAACAAAAGACUGAGGAGUGACUGGGUAAAAAGUUGGGUCUUGGCUGCAUGCCAAGGGAGGCAUGGGCAAGGGGAGAAUCCAGGAUGACCUGUACUCUGCCGUUUUCCACAGUUAAGUACUCAUUGCUUCCUGAAAUGUUCCACACCAGCUCCCAUAAAAGCAGAGAUGCUCCAUUCAAGGGUGCCAUCUUGAAUUUUAAGUCCACUUAAGAAGGAUGAGAAGUGUGGGACACAUAUGGACGGGGAAGAAGACCAACAAUUUCAUCUCUAAUGUGUGGAGAAAGCCAGAGCCUCCCAAAGGCUGCAGACCCGCCCUGGCCACCUGUUUCUGAGAAUGGCCUUUCUGAGCAUCCCUUUAUUAUAAAAAUUGU